rnacentral:rRNA from 1 species
GGAGUUUGGGCCGUGUCUCAGUCCCAAUGUGGCCGGUCGCCCUCUCAGGCCGGCUACGGAUCAUCACCUUGGUAGGCCGUUACCCUGCCAACUAGUUAAUCCGACGCGGGCCCAUCCUGCACCGAUAAAUCUUUCCACCCGGUACCAUGCGGUACUGUGUGCAUAUGCGGUAUUAACAGUCGUUUCCAGCUGUUAUCCCCCAGUGCAGGGCAGGUUACCCACGUGUUACUCACCCAUCCGCCGCUAAGUCAAAUCCGAAAACUUGACUCCGCUCGACUUGCAUGUGUUAAGCCUGCCGCUAGCGUUCAUC